rnacentral:rRNA from 1 species
GAUGAACGCUGGCGGCGUGCCUAAUACAUGCAAGUCGAGCGAACAGACGAGGAGCUUGCUCCUCUGAUGUUAGCGGCGGACGGGUGAGUAACACGUGGAUAACCUACCUAUAAGACUGGGAUAACUUCGGGAAACCGGAGCUAAUACCGGAUAACAUGUUGAACCGCAUGGUUCAACAGUGAAAGACGGUCUUGCUGUCACUUAUAGAUGGAUCCGCGCCGCAUUAGCUAGUUGGUAAGGUAACGGCUUACCAAGGCAACGAUGCGUAGCCGACCUGAGAGGGGGAUCGGCCACACUGGAACUGAGACACGGUCCAGACUCCUACGGGAGGCAGCAGUAGGGAAUCUUCCGAAAUGGGCGAAAGCCUGACGGAGCAACGCCGCGUGAGUGAAGAAGGUCUUCGGAUCGUAAACCGCUGUUAUUAGGGAAGAACAAAUGUGUAAGUAACUAUGCACGUCUUGACGGUACCUAAUCAGAAAGCCACGGCUAACUACGU